UGGGGAAUAUUGCGCAAUGGGCGGAAGCCUGACGCAGCGACGCCGCGUGGGGGAUGACGGCCUUCGGGUUGNAAACCUCUUUCAGCAGGGACGAAGCGAGAGUGACGGUACCUGCAGAAGAAGCACCGGCCAACUACGUGCCAGCAGCCGCGGUAAUACGUAGGGUGCAAGCGUUGUCCGGAAUUAUUGGGCGUAAAGAGCUCGUAGGCGGUUCGUCGCGUCGGCUGUGAAAACCUGAGGCUCAACCUCAGGCCUGCAGUCGAUACGGGCGGACUUGAGUUCGGCAGGGGAGACUGGAACUCCUGGUGUAGCGGUGAAAUGCGCAGAUAUCAGGAGGAACACCGGUGGCGAAGGCGGGUCUCUGGGCCGAAACUGACGCUGAGGAGCGAAAGCGUGGGGAGCGAACAGGAUUAGAUACCCUGGUAGUCCACGCCGUAAAACGUUGGGCGCUAGGUGUGGGGGGCCCAUUCCCACGGUCUCCGUGCCGCAGCUAACGCAUUAAGCGCCCCGCCUGGGGAGUACGGCCGCAAGGCUAAAAC
rnacentral:rRNA from 1 species